rnacentral:rRNA from 1 species
CAGUAGCCGCGGGAAUACGGAAGGUCCAGGUGUUAUCCGGAUUUAUUGGGUUUAAAGGGAGCGUAGGCCGCAGGUUAAGUGUGUUGUGAAAAGCAGUCGCCCAACGUCUGCCUUGCAGCGCAAACUGUCCUGCUUGAGUGCGCACAACGCAGGCGGAAUUCGUCGUGUAGCGGUGAAAUGCUUAGAUAUGACGAAGAACUCCGAUUGCGAAGGCAGCUUGCGGGAGCGCAACUGACGCUGAAGCUCGAAAGUGCGGGUAUCGAACAGGAUUAGAUACCCCUGUAGUCCCUGUCUCUUAUAC